AUUGAACGCUGGCGGCAGGCCUAACACAUGCAAGUCGAACGAGUGGCGGACGGGUGAGUAAUGUCUGGGACACUGCCUGAUGGAGGGGGAUCACUACUGGAAACGGUAGCUAAUACCGCAUACCAUCAGAUGCGCCCAGAUGGGAUGAGCUAGUUGGUGGGGUAACGGCUCACCAAGGCGACGAUCUCUAGCUGGUCUGAGAGGAUGACACGCAAGAUGGGAACUGAGACACGGUCCAGACUCCUACGGGAGGCAGCAGUGGGGAAUAUUGCACAAUGGGCGCAAGCCUGAUGCAGCCAUGCCGCGUGUAUGAAGAAGGCCUUCGGGUUGUAAAGUACUUUCAGCGGGGAGGCGUUACCCGCAGAAGAAGCACCGGCUAACUCCGUGCCAGCAGCCGCGGUAAUUC
rnacentral:rRNA from 1 species